UGGCUCUGCAAGACUAAACUGAUUUUUCUCACGUAAUUACAUUACAAAUGUGUACUUGUUAAUUAUUGUUUAUGACGAUAAAAAGCGAAAGUACUGUGAUUCUAGAAAAAAAAUAUUCUUCCUUAAAAACAUUUUCUUCAGCUUCUUUUCUAAGUAUAUAUUUGUAGAGAAUAAAUAUAAAUGUAAUGAAUCAAACAACAAAUCAAUUCUAUAUUUAAUAUAAAAACAAUCACUUAGAUGGUCUUCUAACCAAAACGAGUAUGAAUCUGCGAUAACCAAAGUACAAGGAUGUGUAAUGAAAAAAUUGAAGAUCAAGAAAAAUCUGAUGAUUCCCUCUCUUUAGAGGAACUCACAGAACCUACCAACUGCUGUAUGUCUGGUUGUACUAAUUGCGUUUGGAUUCAAUACGUAGAAAAGUUGUCUAGUAAGCUAGAAGUUAGUAACAUGGAUGUACAAAAAGAAAUUUUGGAGAAAAUUCAAGAUCCAAAUAUGAAGGCGUUUCUUUCUAUGGAAUUAAGGUGUCGGAAUUUAAUAAAAUAGUAAUUAUUUAUAACAAUUCAUAGUUUAAAAGUUUGUACAUACACUGUCUUAUUUAGAUUUGAAAUUAAAUAGAAGAGAAGA